rnacentral:rRNA from 1 species
UACGAAGGGUGCAAGCGUUGCUCGGAAUUAUUGGGCGUAAAGGGUAGGUAGGUGGUAGUAAAAGUCCGAGGUGAAAUCCCUGAGCUUAACUCAGGAAGUGCCUUGGAAACUUUACUACUAGAGUACUAGAGAGGUUCGUGGAAUUCCCGGUGUAGCGGUGAAAUGCGUAGAGAUCGGGAGGAACAUCAGAGGCGAAGGCGACGAACUGGAUAGUAACUGACACUCAACUACGAAAGCGUGGGUAGCAAACAGG